UUAACUACAGAGUCCACACCAGCCUAACCCUAGUUACCUUUCUCCCAUCUCCCGUACCAACCAUAGCCGCCGCCACUUCACCUUCCUCCUCUCGCCGCUCCAUGUCGGCGCCGGCGCCGACAGCGCCGGACCUGAACCACACCGCGUCGAGCCCCUCCACAUCUAUCCCGCCCGGGACCCUCCCCAUUCCAUGCCUCUCCCCAUUCAGAUCGGCCCCUCGAGUUAUUGCAUCCUAGUCAUACCCCUCGAUCUGAGGCGGCAGCGGUGGCGGGGGGACCAACUGCCGGAUUUGGACGGCCCUGAGGUCGCUGGCGGCAUGCAUUGAUCCAGCUCCAUUUGGCGGCGAGCUGAGGUGAGGUACAGUCGUACAGGCGGUGGCAACACAGCCACGGAUGCAGAGUACAUCGGCGACCUGUGGCUCGGUCCAAUUGUCCGUCAGCCGCCCAGUCGUCGCUCCCCUCAUAGUCGCGGUCGUCUUCUCCAUCCGUGGUGCGCAACCUCCUCUAUGCGUCGCCGUUCACCUUCUCCAGCCGGAAAGACCCAAGGAGUAUAGAGUACCACCAGGACGAGCAAAACACUUGGGGCAGAACACCGGCCAUGGAUUGAUCUAGCCAUACCUGUUAAAGGAUGGACGGAGGCCUCGUUGGCCAUGUUGAACCAGUACAUUAAAACAUCUGGGUGUCUGCAUUGUUCGACAUUAAAACGAACAGCAAGGGCAGGAGCACCACUGAGGGUUACUCGCUCGUUACUGAUUGUUUGUGCUUUGUUCCUUCCUAGUCACAUUGUGAAGCACAUUCAUUUUUUGUACUCCAAACAAAAAGUAUUAGGCAAAUCUCCGUUCUUGUUGCAGUUCAAGCAUUGUUUUGUAGCUGUACACUUAUAAUUCAGAGUAAUGGCCCGCAAGAUUUAUCCUAUCAGCUUUUAGUAUUAAGAAACUCAUACCAUUUUAUAUCUAACUGAAGAAAACCUCAUAUUUGCAGAUUCUUUAGGUACAUUUUACUGCAGUGUCCAUUGUUUCUGCAUGCACAUAAUGGUGAUGGACCCCACACCGGUCAGUGCAUCUAAUGGUCUUUGUACAGCUAAAAACAUUUUUCACUUGGUGAUGAUAUCUGCACUGCCCUUGCCUGCAUAAUUUGAAUAUCUCACAUGGACUAGAAACAUUUUUUUACUUGGUGAUGAUAUCUGCACAGCCCUUUCCUGAACAUGCCCUUUAUGUUAUUCAUACACUUUACUCAAGCAUCUAUUUGCCCUUAUGUUUUGCUAGGGCUCAAUGUUUUCUGGAAGUAAGCUUGACUGAAAAUACACGUAAUUCAAUGCUUGUUCUUCUAACUAAAAAUUCAGUUCAUGAUUCUGGUCCUAUACUUACUGAAAUGAUUACUAUAGAGGUCAAAACGCUUUCAAAUUCAAGAAUAAGGAGAGUAUUUUCUGUUUUCUUUCCGCCAAUUUCUUUUCAUAUAAAUAUGGCAUUUAUUGUUUAUAGUUAAUGGGCUUGUUUUAGCUAUGUAGUUUUCAACCUAUAUGAUUUUUGGUUAUUGGAUAAUAAACUUUCAUGUAGUUCUCGACUGCCCACACAUAUGUAGCUGUACAAUUUAAUCUCUAGAUACAUCAUACAUGCAAAUUAUAUCUCCCUGUCUCCUUCUAUAGGUACCUAAAAUACUUGACAAAGAAGCGAAAUGACAAACAAGCCGCUUGAAGUUCCAUGUGCUGUGUAAAAUCUUAUUUUUUGUACAAUGAAUCAAAACUCUUGGUGCUCUAAUUCCUGUGCAAUGCUUUGUGCCAAAAUCAUAUAAUUUUCAUAGCUUCUUGGUCAGUUCGUCUUUUAUCUUCUUGUUCAGUUCGUCUUUUAUCUUCCGUGACCAUGAGAUAAUUUUAACGAAUUAGUAUCUUAAUUGAUUUUGGUCUGUGGCUACCUAAUUCUAGAGAUGGAAUAGAAUAGAAUAGGUUGAGGGGAUCGAUCUGAAACUGAGUAGGCACAUAUUUCAGUGUAGGUUAGUCGGUGGUUUUGGAGCAAAAUUGUACGCCCCGAAAGAAAUAUCUACACACGGAAGAAAAAAAUAAAAUGGUAUUUCGAAACAUCUGAACGACAUUUCAAUGCAACGGGAGCACCAUAUCUGUAGAGUGCUAAAGCUGCACUUGUUGUUUUUCAUUUCCUGCUAUUCGAUUUGCUAUUAAUCUUACUUUCUCAAUGUACAGAUGUGCUUCACAAAUUUUAAAAUAUCUUGAUGAUUAACACUUUAACUUAAGGAGAUAUUUCCAUAAGCAAGUUUAGUUUCUUCCUGUGCUGGGUUCUAUUAGCUUAUUCUGAAUCUGAACAUGACAUGACGAACCACUGAGACGUGAUCAGAUCAAUUUGUUUUGUGUGUGUAUAACAAGUUCCUUUGAUUGAUUGGCAUACAUCUUAGGCACACAUACUGGAACACGGCGGUCCAGCCAACCUCUGGCCUCCGCUUCUUCCUCCCCGAUGGUGCUGUGGAACCAACGUUGGGUUCCGCUACCCCUGACCAUGGCCUAACAUGCACGGACUGAAGAUAAGUUAUUCUAUUUCUUCCUUAAAGUGAGAUCGUUUGCUUCUCUGAUCCAGUUCUAGUAAUUUGUAUAAGGCCUUAGCUUGUUGUCAGGGAGGAACUUUCAUCUCAUUGCUAAAACUUGGGUAAACUGUGGGCAUACAAAAUACAUCUUUGUUUUUGUUGCCUUACAAACAUGGCUGUGAACAAACCGAAUGUUGGCAAACAAUUGUAUAUCCAUUUUCACUUAUUAUGAUAUUUCUGAAAGUGAAAGGGACUAAGGAUAGCACAGAGAGCAGAGAGCACACGGGUUAUGUUGGAAAAAUUGGUCGAAGUUACAAUGCAUUAGCUGGCAUAAAUAUAGCACAACUAGCAUGCCUAGAUGCACACAACGUUGAUGGUAAGAUAUGCUUGACAACUACCUAACAGGAUCAGAUUAUUCAUUCUGUAAAUGUAAAAAAAUAUUAUUGUCUUCACAACGUCCACCACUGAAUAUCUCUAUGUAUUUCUAGACCUUGAUUUGAUAUUAAAAAGACAAUCCAAUUUAUCUUCUCGCUUAUGUCCUGGAAGGUUUCAUGAUCUAUAUCUAUAUUCGUGAUUGCUACUGCAUGUGUUCUGACUCGGCUUGUACCUUCAUUAAAAUGAAGUAAUACUUAAGCUAUGUAUGAGUCUGAUUCGUGCAAGCCUUGUUCCUACUGCUGCCACCUUGUAUAAAUAUAUACUGGUUCGUGCAAUACUUGCUCCUACUUCAAAUUUUUAGUCUGAACGUACCUAUAUAUAUUUGCAUCAGAUUAAAUUUGUAGUCUGAUUCGUGAAGUAGUAGCAAGGGUUGUUCCUACUGCUGCCACCAUGUAUAAAUAUAUACUGGUUAAUUUCAUUUAACUAUUUUUUCUGUCACAAAUAAUAGUACUAUGCUGGUCAAGUGGGCAGCGUAUAGAAUCGUCUUGCACAGAAGUAACACGGAUAAUAUAAUCAAUUGGUUUAUGAUAGAAAAUCAUUUCUGUAUAUCCUGAAUGAAUAUAAACGAUGCAUGAUUAUUUCAAGUUGCACUUUCCUAUCUAUUAUCUCAUUGUUUAUCAAGUAUUUUCAUGUUUCAUAGUCCACUGCAUUACAAUGGGUUUAUAUGGCCUCAACUACUGCUGCUAUAGUAGGAGUUCUGUGAUGUGUGUUUCGUCACUUUGUCAUUUGACACACUUUUUUGGGUUAAUUUUAAGCAACCUCAUGUUUAAUCUUGUUUUAUAGUAGAUACAAUGUUAUUCUCAUUUGUAGGCACUACAAGAUUUAAGAAUUCUGGACAUGUAAUUCAUUUUUAUAUUUGUUGCAAUUUUCUUAUUUCUACUAUCUAUCCAUAUGUGCAAAUAUCUAAUAUUCUUGUUAAUAUGCUAGUUAAGAUUGGAUACUGUGCUACUUGGUGCUGCCCAUCACGGCAUGAUCGUUGCCAUCAAGAACAUCGAUGGCAAGAGCUUGAAUAACAACCUCGAUAGUUUAUAUGUUCUGUUGAUGUAAAAUGGAUUGUACUGGUUCAUAACUCUGUUGUGUGAUAUAUUUUGUCAAUCUAUGUUGUAUGUCAUCACUUUGUAGAGGAUUUUUUAAACUGCUGUGUUGUAGAUACAUACAGAUGGCUGUGUUAAACUUUGUAAUGUUUCACA